GCCCGCCUAGCUCAAUCGGAUAGAGCGUCAGACUCUUAAGGCGGGUUAAUAUCAACUUUGCUGAUAUCUGAAGGCUGCGAGUUCGACCCUCGCGGUGGGCU